rnacentral:lncRNA from 1 species
CCACAGGAAUAUGACAUAAAAAAUACAACACAAGGAAACUAGUAGAACCUUACCCAUUAGGGAUUUUGCCUCAGUUAGGUCUCUUAGGCCCACUUGAACCACGUUACAACUCUACCUUAACAAAAAUUUUUUUAAAACCUCAACUACAUAGAAUGAGAUAAUUCCUCUCCUCGAUUCAUGAGACACUGUUCACAUUUUUCUUGCAAAGCCCCCUUUUUUGUUUGAUUUUACUUAUUCCUUCAGCUUCUCUUCAAUUUCCUUCUCUCCUAUAUGCAACCACAUGUCUUUCCAGUCAGCCUUUUUUAUAUGUAUUUAGCAACACACACAUCUGUAAAAAAUAUAUAAUGUGGAAAGAAAUAAAUAUAUACAGUGUUUUUUAAACUUGUAUCAGUUGCAUUAUGCUAUACAUCUCAUUCUUUUUUCUCUAAUUUUGUUUCUUUUGAGUUGUAAAAAGACAUAAAUCUAGUUCAUUACAUUUGAUUGCUAUGCGGUAUUCCAUCUCAAGGCAUAUACCACAUUUCACUUUAAGAUUUCUCUUAGAAUGAAAACACAANNNNNNNNNNNNNNNNNNNNNNNNNNNNNNNNNUACAGUGAAUGUUGUCAUACAUGCCUUUUGUGGACCCAUGUGUGCAAGCCUGUUAACUAGACAGCCUAAAUGAUUCAUGCCCUUGUGUAAUCCCUUCCCACGCUGUAUCAGGUUUCACCUGUGUGACCAACAUAAUAUGGCAGAGUGAUGUGUGAAUUCCCAGACUAGGUCAUAAAUACCCUGCUGUUUCCACCUUGUUCUCUCGGAUCACUUACUUCUGGUAAAGCCAUCUACUGUAUUGUGAGGACACCGUAGCAGCCCUUUGGGACAGCGAACAACUAAUGCCAACGUGAGACCCAUUUGACAACAGUUUCUUAGAAGGAUCCUUCAGCUCCAGUUAAACAAAUGACAGGAGCCCCAGCCAGCAUUUGGACUGCAGCUUCACAAGAGACCCUGAUACCCUCCUGAAUUCCUGACCCAUAGCAACUGUGGAAUAAUAAAUGUUUAUUAUUGUUUUAAGCCACACAGUUUAAAGUAAUUUGUUACACAGCAAUAGAUAACAACAACAACGAAAAUAGUUAACAGACUGUGAGAGUUUCUCUAGGAUCUGUACAUAGGGGAGAAUGCCCGAGUUGUUAGGUAGGUGCACACUUACUUUCCAUGCUGUUGGCAUACCACCCUCCAGGUGACUGUGCCAGUUUACUUCCCUAGCAGUAGAAAAAAAUUCUUCCCACACUUCUCACCCAGUAUUCAGUAUUUGUUUGUUUGGAUUCAG